UACGGAGGGUGCAAGCGUUAUCCGGAUUCACUGGGUUUAAAGGGUGUGUAGGCGGGCUAUUAAGUCAGUGGUGAAAUCUCCGGGCUCAACCUGGAAACUGCCAUUGAUACUAUUAGUCUUGAAUAUCGUUGAGGAGGGCGGAAUAUGUCAUGUAGCGGUGAAAUGCUUAGAUAUGACAUAGAACACCGAUUGCGAAGGCAGCUCUCUAAACGAUCAUUGACGCUGAGGCACGAAAGCGUGGGGAUCGAACAGG
rnacentral:rRNA from 1 species